AAACCCCGGCAACGGAUAUCUCGGCUCUCGCAUCGAUGAAGAACGUAGCGAAAUGCGAUACUUGGUGUGAAUUGCAGAAUCCCGUGAACCAUCGAGUCUUUGAACGCAAGUUGCGCCCCAAGCCUUCUGGCCGAGGGCACGUCUGCGAAGAAACA
rnacentral:rRNA from 2 species